rnacentral:lncRNA from 10 species
UCUGGAGGCAAAGAGCAGAGACUCCGCAGCUGCAGUGGAUUCCUAGCUGGAGAGGGAGGGCUGAUCAAUCAAGCCACAACUGGGAUGGGUGCUGCAGGUGUCCCUCUACAGGUGUCAGAUGUGUACCGUGUUCUGAAGACUCUCCCCACCUUCUCCAGCACCCUCCCCCUUUGUCCUUCACAGGCAUUUCCUCCAAUCAGUCUUUCGUCUUCUGCUUCAUGGAAGACCUGACGGACACAGACAACUCAUCUUUACAUCCUCCAUGCCUGGGACAUUGGCAGGGAUUCUGCAGCAGUGAUGAAGAGCAUGGACACAAAUCAUAACCCGGGACUUGUUCCAUGGGUAGCCUUGAGAGCAGGUGACUUCAACCUCUCUGAAACCGAGUUUGAGGUCCUCAUCUAUUAAGUGGUAUUGAUAUUAAUAGCUAUGUCUUACGGCUGUUUGAGAAUGAAUAAGUUAAUGCAUGAAUACGUUUAGCACAGUGCUUAAAAAUCACAAUAAAUAUCUAAUACAAUAUAACUAGCUGCAUUGGAUGCACUAAGUAUUCUACACAUGUGUUAGUGCUGCAAACUGCCUGGUGCUGGUAGCUGCAAUGGUCACAGGACUGUCAGGCUGUGUCCCCCACCACAACCCCUGACACACACACACUCAAUUCUCUCAAACAUAGGCUGCUGAAGGUGACUUCAGCACCAUAAACUUAGCUGGGCCAUUUCUGGGAGACUGUCUAGGUCUCUGUGAAUUCUGCCUCCUUUUUGAUAUUGCUGAUAUAGUUUGGAUGUGUGUCCCCUCUAAAUCUCAUGUUGAAUUAUCAUCUGCAGUGUUGGAGGUAGGGCUAGUGGGAGGUGAUUUCUCACAAAUGGUUUAGCACCAUCUCCUUGAUGCCAUCCUCAGGAUAGUGAGUGAGUUCUUGUGAGAUCUGGUUGUUUAAAAGUCUGUAGGAUCUUCCCCCUCACUCUCUCUCUCUUGCAUCCCCUCUCGCCAUGUGAUAUGCUGGCUUCCCCUUUGCCUUCCACCAUGGAUAGGAAGCUUCCUGAGGCC